GUAGAAAACUUGUCUUCCUUAACACCUAAGCCAGAGUUCUGUGGACGUUUCUCCCAAAGACCAAGCAACUAGACGAAGAAUCCUCUCUGCUUUUGUGUGUCUGUGAACAAAAUGUUCUGUGGCUUCUCAUUGGUCAUGCUGCCAGCUUCCAGCUCAGGACUUGUGAUUCUGUUGAUCCUCGGAGGAGCCAGUGGAGACUCUGUGACCCAGACAGAAGGCCUGGUCACUCUCCUGGAAGGCACAGAACUAACCUUGAACUGCACUUACCAGACCAGCUAUCCACCUUUCCUUUACUGGUACAUCCAGUCUCAACACCAGGGGCUCGAGCUCCUCCUGAAAAGUUCAUCUGAAACCCAGGAGGUGAACAGCAAAGGCUUCCUGGCCAGUCAUGUCAAGAGCCAGAGUUCCUUCCACCUGAGGAAAUCCACUGUGAAAAUGUCAGACUCAGCCGUGUACUUCUGUGGUCUGCAGACACAGUGAGAGUAGUUGCGGGGGGAGCUGAACACAAACCCUGAGGGUGCAGGUGGGGCUUGGCUGUGUGCAGUCCUGGCAGGGACUGUCUUCCCUCUCUAGCGUCCUGUGCUGGAGGCUUCCUCCAAGGACAGGAGCUUCCAACUUUGAUGCAACAGAGCCCACGAACCAUGGAGUUCUUGGAUGACUCCCCAGAGAGGAAUUGUGGCUGAAACAGAGUUGAGUGAAAUUAAAGCUGUGAUUUUUAACAAGACUUCUCUGUUUAGUACUUCUGUCUCUUCUAUAAUGGGCAAA